GACGAACGCUGGCGGCGUGCUUAACACAUGCAAGUCGAGCGGUAAGGCCCUUUCGGGGGUACACGAGCGGCGAACGGGUGAGUAACACGUGGGUGACCUGCCCUCAGUUCUGGGAUAAGCCUGGGAAACCGGGUCUAAUACUGGAUAUGACCUCAUGACGCAUGUUGUGGGGUGGAAAGCCUUGUGCGACUGAGGAUGGGCCCGCGGCCUAUCAGCUUGUUGGUGGGGUGAUGGCCUACCAAGGCGACGACGGGUAGCCGGCCUGAGAGGGCGACCGGCCACACUGGGACUGAGACACGGCCCAGACUCCUACGGGAGGCAG
rnacentral:rRNA from 1 species